AAAAUGCGAUAUCUAGUGUGAAUUGCAGAUUUACGUGAAUCAUCGAGUCUCUGAACGCAAAUUGCGCUCCACGGCCAUUCCGUGGAGCAUACCUGUUUGAGUCUCACCUUUUUCCUUUCUUUUUCCAGAAAACAUGCGCCUCUUUUCCCCCCUCUGCUGGGGGGAAAACGGCGUCAAACGCAAGCCGCGUGCGUCGGGAAAAACAGCGCAGUGUGCUCAUCCCACCUGCGUCUGGCCGUCGCGGCGCACAGCGAAAAACAAAACAUCAGAACCGAGCUCAAAUCAGGCAGGACUACCCGCUGAACUUAA
rnacentral:misc_RNA from 1 species